UUAGGAUGUGCAUGAAGGACUCAGGAAAAAUUGGAUUCAGAUUUGUUCAAGGUCAUACAGGUACUUUCUGCAUGGAGUUGGGAUUCAAAACUAAGCGCUCUGGUUUUAAAACCAGUAUGUGUCUCACCACAUCACAACUGUCAGAAUUGGAGGGAUUCCAAACCAGAAGGAGAGCAGGAUCAUUUGGACUUCUGAGAAAGAAUCUGAGGGACUACAGAGUGAAAUUGCCAAGACCUACCUGGUUUUCUAAUAAUGCAAGGGAAGUAAAACUGUUUCAGCAAAACUAUGGUGCUCACGAAUUUACAGGGUUGGUAGACUACAGGAAUGCUACAGGCAGAGUUUAACUUAUACUUCACAGAAGUUCUAGGUGCCACAUUUUAGGAAAGACAUUGAGAAGUUGGAUAAACUCCAGAAAGGGAUGACCAGGAUGGUAAUGAUCUGAAGAUCAAUCAUACCAUAUGAAAACUAUUUGAAAGAGACAGACGUUUACACCAUGGACAAGAGAAGAUGUGUGUUAGAUGAUAGUUAUCUUCAGACACUUGAAGGGCUUUCAUGUAGAGAAGAAACUAGAGUUGGCCCCAGAAGCAAUCAAAUCAGAAGCAACAGAGUUGAAGAGCAGCAUACUUAGGCUUGGUGCAAAGAAAAACUUCCUAACAGGUAAAGCUAUCCAAAAUUAAAAUGUAUUGAAUAGGGAUGUAGUGGGUUCUCUUUUAACUCAAGGUUUUCAAACAAGAAAAGACCUGUCACUGGAAGGGAUUGUCUCGCAUCCCUUCGAACUUCAAAAUUCUGUGAUUCCACUUCUAUGCGGGACUCAAAAGGUCCCAGAAAUGCCCUUCAACGUGAAAGAUCUUUCAUGGUGAACCUGAGAUUUAUUGUGGGGUCACCUAAAGGUCACAUUAUCUCCCAGGCACCCAAAGAACUACUCCCAUGUGGGACAGCUUACGGAAUGUCUGAAGAAAGUGUCCAGAAGGACUUGGUG